CUCUGUUCAUAUGACGACCUGCAUACUGAAACAGUCUGCGGAGAAAAAUGCCUUCAGAUCCAUGUGACGAGAAAGUGAAAGCAAUGGAAUACAAUGACGGAAGUUGAAUCUUACAGCGACACCGGACACAAACUGGCGAAUACACUUGGAUUUAUAACUGUAGUUUAGGACAAAUCGGAGUAAUGUGAAUGAAUUGAUACAAAUUAUGUAACUAGACAAAUAACAGUGUUUUAAAAUUGACACUGAUGGAGUGGGAAUUUCUGGUUCCAUCAAUCUGUGAACAUGAACCUAAAAUGAUAGAUGCCAUCCUGGUUAAGCUGGAGCUGUCCCACACACUAGACCUUGAGUCAUGCAUGCUCUCUGGACUCUUCGCAACCACAUCUGUUGUUUGGCACUUGGAAUUGCGCGCAACUUGGAGGUUGAGGGCACCUUACAGCACACGUAGGUGGGGUCUCUGAGGGAUGGAUUCAGGAUCGGGACAAGUGUGCCAGCUACAGCUCCACUGACCUGAGGCAUGUUGGCUAUGGCACGGAAACCCAGCUCCCCAACAGGCUGUUUUUGGUUCAUACCUCUUGGCUUUGCUCCUGCUACCUCUCGGCUAUUGCUGUGAAAGCACCAAGCCAAUGGUCGGAGUUAAGGAGGAUUAUAAGAAUGUUAUUCAUCCCCUUCUUCAAAAUAUCGAGAACAACAUUACAAACAUGUUAAGGGACCAUCCAUGUGGGGAAAAUAAGAAAAAGUAUACAUGUGACCCAAACAAUGAGACGCGUUCCAUUCAAAAGAUGGUUUGUUCUAUUCCAUUUAAAAACCCGAAGAAAGUGAUGAGCAAAAUUAAAUGUGACUUGUGGAAGCUUUCAGGAGUUAUAACAGACUCACUUGAGUGUUCCUGUUCCAUAAAUGAGGAUCCGUACAAUUCAACUAGGGGUAUACAAUUCAACUGUACACACCCUCACCACCGGCAUUUGAGUGAUGAAAGACUUUGCAGACUGCGCAGCAUCAUCAGAGAUAUAAAGUCAUGCUACGCAAAGUUAACUGUAAAGAACAGCUAGUAGGAGGAAGAGAAGCUCGGGUAGCGAUGAUGAACAUACUGCUCUUCAGAGGAGGACUCCGGGACACUUGGAAUACUUUUUCUAUAGCAGAUGAACCUUUGGGAUUGAUACACAGGAUGUCUCCUCGUGUUUGACUAAUAGGCCCUGCACAGGACACCCUUCACAAUGAGCGGACGCUCACAUUACAAAGGUUAGCAUUUCCUGUGGCUUUCCAUGGCUCCUGAUGACAGAUGACUUUGGGAGCAUAUCACUGAUAAUUCCACUUGAGCAUGACCAUGAGACAUUGUGCAACUUCUAAAGCUUGAGGGAAAAUUCCUUCUAAUGGUUUCAAAUGCAAUGUUGCCUUUUGGACACUAGUGAGCUUGAAGUGGGUAAUUAGAUCCCAGAACAUUUGGUUACAGCAUGUUGAGAAUGUGGGAAUUUCAGGUGUUGGUGUCUGUGUAAAAGGGAAGAAAUAAUGACUCAAAUAUUGUAUUUUAAGAACCAUCUUUGACUUCUUUUUUAUGAAAGCUGAUCCAUUUCUGAAACUUGAGCUCAGUAAUUAAUCAUUUUCCUCGACUUGCUCCAGCUUUGCACGAAACAGUGGACUAUUCCAUGUUUGCUGUGUCUGAAAGUGAAUGUCCCAUUCCAUUUUUUUCCAGCUUUUGUAGUAGAGCAUUCACAUACAGUAUGUUAAAAAAAUAUAUGUCUAUUUUAUUCACAGCAAAUAUAUUUUAUAUAACCUUA